CUCAGCUUUGAGAACUGAAUUCCAUGGGUUGUGUCAGUGUCAGACCUGUGAAAUUCAGUUCUUCAGCUGGGAUAU
ensembl:miRNA